rnacentral:rRNA from 1 species
GACAGAGGAGCCAAGCGUUGUCCGGAAUAACUGGGCGUAAAGCGCACGCAGGCGGUGCGGUGCGUGGGGUGUGAAAACUGGCGGCUUAACUGCCAGAGGCCACCUCAUACGGCCGCACUCGAGCUCUGCAGAGGUCCAUGGAAUUGCCGGUGUAGUGGUGAAAUGCGUAGAGAUCGGCAGGAACACCCAGGGGGAAACCAGUGGGACU